rnacentral:rRNA from 1 species
GAUGAACGCUGCGCGUGCUACACAUGCAAGUCGAACGGAGUGCUCUCGAAAGAGGAUUCGUCCAAUUGAGAGAGUUACUUAGUGGCGGACGGGUGAGUAACGCGUGAGGAACCUGCCUUGGAGUGGGGAAUAACAGUUAGAAAUGACUGCUAAUACCGCAUAAUGCAAUUGUAUCGCAUGGUACUGAUUGCCAAAGAUUUAUCGCUCUGAGAUGGCCUCGCGUCUGAUUAGCUAGUUGGUAGGGUAACGGCCUACCAAGGCGACGAUCAGUAGCCGGACUGAGAGGUUGGCCGGCCACAUUGGGACUGAGACACGGCCCAGACUCCUACGGGAGGCAGCAGUGGGGAAUAUUGGGCAAUGGGCGCAAGCCUGACCCAGCAACGCCGCGUGAAGGAAGAAGGCUUUCGGGUUGUAAACUUCUUUUGUCAGGGACGAAGUAAUGACGGUACCUGACGAAUAAGCCACGGCUAACUACGUGCCAGCAGCCGCGGUAAUACGUAGGUGGCAAGCGUUAUCCGGAUUUACUGGGUGUAAAGGGCGUGUAGGCGGGACUGCAAGUCAGAUGUGAAAACCACGGGCUCAACCUGUGGCCUGCAUUUGAAACUGUAGUUCUUGAGUGUCGGAGAGGUAAUCGGAAUUCCUAGUGUAGCGGUGAAAUGCGUAGAUAUUAGGAGGAACACCAGUGGCGAAGGCGGAUUACUGGACGAUAACUGACGCUGAGGCGCGAAAGCGUGGGGAGCUAACAGGAUUAGAUACCCUGGUAGUCCACGCUGUAAACGCUCUCUAGGUGUGGGGGGUCUGACCCCCUCCGUGCCGCAGUUAACACAAUAAKUWCCCACCUGG